AAAGAUUAAACUUAAAAUUAGCGAUAAAAAAUAAACUAAGGCGAGCAGUAUUCUUACUUAGCUUUUACGUACUAGUUAUGGUUUGCCUAUGUUCCUAGAUAAUCAAAAUAUCAAAAAUCAUCCAAUAAAUAAGUUAGUUAUUCAGAGAUAUAUACAUGUAAACUAGCAAACAUAAGUGAAUAUUGUCCAAGGUAAAGAAAAGGAAGAAACUGGACUCUUGACUGUUGGGCUGGUGAGCCUAACCAGGCCCAGCAUAAUUCGGCAGACUCCAUCAUGCGCAUAAGGAGCAGGCUGGAUUUGAAUUUGUGCCUGAGUUCCCAACGGAACUUAGGAGGCCCAAUGCAAAACAUGCACACAAAAAAUAAUAAAAAAGAUAAUUAGUGUAUAUCAAUCAUAAAACUAAUUAAAAUAAAGAUUAAGAAAAAUAAUAAUGAAGAACUAAAGAAUAUGGUGAGACGACUUUUAUUUAUGUUAACCCUAAGGGGACUAAUGAAAGACAGUGACUAAAGGCUUGGUAUGAAUCCUCAUUUAUGGAUAUGAUCCCCUUUGUGAGCCCUUGACACUUCAGAGUUCACGAGGGUAUCACAGACCCCGAGCAGUACUUGUGUCAAGGAGAGAGAUCAUAAACACAAUAAGUUUUCACAUCCAAAUACCCUUAACCACCCACUAUUAAUCUUCCUCAAAAGUUUAAACAGAAAUAAAGGAUCAACACAGUAAUUUCAUAUGGCCAAGACAUCAACAGUAGGUGUAAGAGUCGUGAUAAACCCUUUAAGGAUUCAAGCACACAAAGACUCCACAACUGUGAACAAAUAGGAUACUGUAAUUCAUUAUCAAAGCACAGAAGAAGUCAAGGGCAUAUUAUUGGCUUAAGAGGAUUCAUAUUAGAGUAUAAGAUAUACAGGCAUGCAUGGGAUCACUGUGGAUACUUAGUUAAACAAGAAAACAAAGUACAUACCAUAGACACAUUUCAUUGCUUAUAGAUUCUUGAUCAGAAGUGUUAUCAGCCAAGUAUUACAUAGAGGUGAACAGAAGUGUAUAUUUUACUAUCUUCAUUAUAGGUUGAAUGUUCCAGAAUUCUCCUAGGCAGAUUCAAGAUUAUAAGAACAAGCCACAAAUAUUUCUAAGGCUUCAGCAUAGCUAAGAGCAGGUAUACAUCUCACUAAGACCUCACCACCUUAACAGUUAGGCUAUAAAGUCACAAUAUACUAACACUUUGAUAUGCAAACAGGUUCACUAACAACAUUUUGUACAUGAGUCUGUGUGUGUGUAGGUUAUUACAACAUCAUGGAUUAGUUUAACAGUUAAAAUUAUUUAAACAAGGACAGAUAAUUAGGGUCAGUUUCUUAAUAGGAUCAGUCACUAAACUCAAAUUAUUUCAUUACCACAGAAAGAUUAGGACUACUAUAGGUGAACACAUAGAUGCAAGGAUAAACCUCUUCAAGCUACUGUCAUAAAAUGCUCUAUGGGCACAACAAUACUAAUACAACAGGUGUGAACUCAGGUGUAGAAACUAAGAAGAGUCAUGACAACAAAGAGUUUCAUGCAGCAGGGCUCAAACAAUUAGUAAAUGGCAUUCAUUCCAGAGGUUAAUCACAUUCAGAUAUGAGAACAUGCCUUCUAACAUACUGAUAGAGUUUAUUGUAUGAUCUCUUUUGUUUCCAACUAUCAUAAGAAGCACACAAAAAUUAUUCUGUUAAAAUAGUAUGAACAUGGCACUGGCUAGAGUCCAGAUAAAAAUCAUCAAUGACGCAAUCAUGUUCCUAGAACUAAGGCAAAAAUAACACAACAUCUCAAACAUCAAGAUGGCUUGGUGUUAACAAGUUAACAGUGUACUCAAGAGGAGCUUAAGCGUCUGAUUUCACAGGGAAAUAGUUACUUGACUGACAUAUUACAUACAAUAUUGUUGAUAUAAGAUUUAAUUAAUCAUGAAGCUUCAAUAGAGUCUAAGAGUAACAACAAUAUACAGAUUACUAGAUAUGCAAAACAAGCAGGUUAUCACAUUUACCAACUGAGAUUGUUAGAGUAGAUAAGUUGAAUACAAGACAUGAAAUAUAGGGAAUCCACUUAUAAGACCAACAUUAUGUCACAAGUAGGCGGGUCAAAUCAUCUAGAGGUACAAAAACACAAAGAGAAGUUUAAGAGCAUGAUUUAAGUUAGCUUAGCUGUCCUAGUUUUAUUGUUCAACUAACAGAGGUAGAUUGUGCACAAAAUCAACAUAAAGCUUAACUUAGCUUUAUCAUAUAUGCAUAGCAAAGUUAAUCACAAGAAUAUCACUUAGUCUAGGGUCUUUUUACUAAUUGAAUCAUGAAGGAUAGAAGUCAAUAGCACAUAUUUAAUGACAGGUUUUAAUACAACAUAACUUAAUAAAAACACUCAUAAUUUAACAGUAAAAUAGCAUUUUAAAGAAGGGUAUAACAAAUACGACCUUACACUACUAACAUCUAACAUGAACAACAAAGAAUUUAUUAAGUAAUCAUCAAGAAGACAUAAUUAUCAAAUGGAUUCAAAGUAAGGAGGGGGUCAGUAGGUACUGACCUUCUAUAGGGCAGAAAACCAAGUAAGGACGUGUUCAACAUCCAUUUCAGAGAUCCAAACUCAAGAUCAAUAUAGCAGUUGACUCAAACCGGAGAAGAGAAAGAAAACACAAAAAUUGGAGAGCACUUAGUGAGAAAACCUUAAAGUUUAACUCAUUUUUUUCUUUUAUGUUUCGGAUAGUAUUUGAUGCGUGGUAGGUGUGAAAAUAGAAUGUCCCUUUUAUAGUGGCACUCAAGACACUUAGGGUUCCGAUUGAUUCAAAUGGGUAGUGGAGAGUGACGACAGUCGAAUGAUGAUAACAAUAAAGGUGAAAUCUGUGAAGAACAGAGGGGAAAAAGCAACACAGAUUUACCUGGGCACGAGGAGAUGACCGUUGAAUGCGAAGACCUAUCAGACAAAGCCCCAAUAUCCAAAGGUUACUAUGUUUGACCUAUGGAUACGAAUAAUGAUGAUGGAAUCAGUGACAAUAGCCAUGCAUGCCUUGGAUUUGAAAGAACGAAGGGAGAACAGAUAAUUCUCAGUAGCAUGAUUUAGGUCUAGAGUUUAAUUGAGGCUUUUGAAUUUUAGUGAUGAAAACAGAAGUAUACCGGCUGGAUUCGCGGAUUAUAGUGACAAAUUGGGUGAUUUGAGGUUUGAAUCCGUGACCUUGCACAAAUUUGUGCAAGGUUUGUGAUUGGGGGUCAGAUGGGAUGAGAGAAAGGAGAGGGAAUUGGGAAAGAAGGGCGG
rnacentral:lncRNA from 1 species